GAUGAACGCUGGCGGCGUGCCUAAUACAUGCAAGUCGAGCGAACGGACGAGAAGCUUGCUUCUCUGAUGUUAGCGGCGGACGGGUGAGUAACACGUGGAUAACCUACCUAUAAGACUGGGAUAACUUCGGGAAACCGGAGCUAAUACCGGAUGAUAUUUUGAACCGCAUGGUUCAAAAGUGAAAGACGGUCUUGCUGUCACUUAUAGAUGGAUCCGCGCUGCAUUAGCUAGUUGGUAAGGUAACGGCUUACCAAGGCAACGAUGCAUAGCCGACCUGAGAGGGUGAUCGGCCACACCGGAACUGAGACACGGUCCCGACUCCUACGGGAGGCCGCCGUAGGGAAUCUUCCGCAAUGGGCGAAAGCCUGACGGAGCAACGCCGCGUGAGUGAUGAAGGUCUUCGGAUCGUAAAACUCUGUUAUUAGGGAAGAACAUAUGUGUAAGUAACUGUGCACAUCUUGACGGUACCUAAUCAGAAAGCCACGGCUAACUACGUG
rnacentral:rRNA from 1 species